GUCCAACUGACGAGUCCCAAAUAGGACGAAACGCGCGUCCUGAAU
rnacentral:hammerhead_ribozyme from 1 species